CCUUACCUACUCUUGACAUCCAGAGAACUUUCCAGAGAUGGAUUGGUGCCUUCGGGAACUCUGAGACAGGUGCUGCAUGGCUGUCGUCAGCUCGUGUUGUGAAAUGUUGGGUUAAGUCCCGCAACGAGCGCAACCCUUAUCCUUGUUUGCCAGCACUUCGGGUGGGAACUCCAGGGAGACUGCCGGUGAUAAACCGGAGGAAGGUGGGGACGACGUCAAGUCAUCAUGGCCCUUACGAGUAGGGCUACACACGUGCUACAAUGGCGCAUACAGAGGGCGGCCAACUUGCGAGAGUGAGCGAAUCCCAAAAAGUGCGUCGUAGUCCGGAUCGGAGUCUGCAACUCGACUCCGUGAAGUCGGAAUCGCUAGUAAUCG
rnacentral:rRNA from 1 species